GGGGGCGUACUGGCUUCGACGUGGGUGCUGAAGCAUAAGGAGCAUACCGGGGCGGAUGAGGACCUCGUUAAAAACGUCCACUUUGUAAUUGGCAACGAUUACGCACUUGCAGCUUAAUUAAGCAGCACGAUCAACCUUGUGGUGGUUCCGCACUUGGAUUGAUCGUCAUUUAGGGACCUCGGCGUGUUGGGUUUUCUCCAGCAGACAUGCUUAAAUUUACUGGGGGAGAGGUCUUAGGGAUUUUGUCUGUGGAAGCCCGAGGACCAAUCUAAAACACUGACUAAGUAUGUAGCGCCUUAUCGUGGAUCAUUUGCGGACGGGGGUUCAAUUCCCCCCGCCUCCACCA
rnacentral:tmRNA from 19 species